rnacentral:lncRNA from 1 species
CAGGAGAUCAGUAUGGUGGGUCUUGUGGGGUGUGAGAACUGGCAAGGGGAACCCCAUCUCAGAUGACAGCACACAGAAACUGGCUUGGAGACCUCCUUCAGGCACAUACCUGCUGCACAAAGAUCACCAGACAGUAGGAGUGGAGACAGGAAAAGACAUUUGCAUCUCAGGGUUGGAGACAGAAGAGGGGGUUGUUUGUUGAUAUUUCCUGCUCUAGCUCUCCUGUUCUUGAACCAAAUUGGAAGAACUCAAGGACUAUGAUGUUGGAUUCACCCAGGGAUCCAUGGAAUCAAAGGUGUUAAUGGGGUUGUCAUGAUGGGCAUCCAUGGACAAGUUUUCCACAGAGAAUUCCACAUGUCUCCACUCCCCGGGCAGUGUUGGCACUGGCUAACUGGAGAAACUGUGGGCACAGCCGCCCAGGCACCACCACAUGGCGCAAUCCAUCGAUUGUGGGAACUGUAAAGGAGAAAGGAGAAUAGUCUGCGACCACUGAGCCCUGCCUCCUCAAGCAGACCUCACAGCCAGCAGCCCUGGAGGAGCAACAUUAAGCCACUGGGAUUCCCCCAACUUCAGGCAGUGAGUAGGGAUCUCAUUCUAAUGGCACCAAAAAAAGGGCUGUAAAGUGUCUUCUCCAAUCUUG